rnacentral:rRNA from 1 species
GGCCAGACUCCUACGGGAGGCAGCAGUGAGGAAUAUUGGUCAAUGGGCGGGAGCCUGAACCAGCCAAGUCGCGUGAGGGAAGAAGGUACUGGGUAUUGUAAACCUCUUUUGCCAGGGGACAAAGGCGGCCACGGGUGGCCGUAAGAGGGUACCUGGAGAAAAAGCAUCGGCUAACUACGUGCCAGCAGCCGCGGUAAUACGUAGGGAGCAAGCGUUAUCCGGAUUUAUUGGGUGUAAAGGGUGCGUAGACGGAGAAGCAAGUUAGUUGUGAAAUCCCUUGGCUUAACUGAGGAACUGCAACUAAAACUACUUCCCUUGAGUACUGGAGAGGAAAGUGGAAUUCCUAGUGUAGCGGUGAAAUGCGUAGAUAUUAGGAGGAACACCAGUGGCGAAGGCGACUUUCUGGACAGUAACUGACGUUGAGGCACGAAAGUGUGGGGAGCAAACAGGAUUAGAUACCCCGGUAC